rnacentral:rRNA from 1 species
UACGGAGGAUGCGAGCGUUAUCCGGAUUUAUUGGGUUUAAAGGGUGCGUAGGCGGAUUGUUAAGUCAGCGGUGAAAGUUCCCGGCUCAACCGGGUCAGUGCCGUUGAUACUGGCAGUCUUGAAUACGGUCAAGGCAGGCGGAAUGUGAUGUGCAGCGGUGAAAUGCAUAGAUAUGUCACAGAACUCCGAUAGCGAAGGCAGCUUGCCGGGUCUGUAACUGACACUGAGGCGCGAAAGCGUGGGGAGCAAACAGG